GCUGAUAGCUAGCAACGGGAAGGAAGGAGCCAAACUUUUGUAUCUCCAGCUAGUAAUUAAAAUGGUUCACAAUCACAAGGCCUGCGGUGUUUACAUGAUUCCCUUCUUUCUAUUGCUAUUGUUCUCAUCAAAAUUAGUCUUUGCCAAUGUUUCUGAACAUCCAGUACACAGGAAGCUGAUGAUUAGCAGGUCGCAUCUGCAAAUGGAGAUCAGUUUAGCAAGGAAAGUGCAGUCAAUAGACGUACCAAUAGGUUCUAAGCCACCUGGAAUAGGAAGGGAAGCCCCAUGAGCCGGCCAUCUAGGACCCAUCAGGGAUCGCCCCUGAUUGCAAAUAAUUUUUUUUUAUUAUUGAAUAAAAUAUUAUUCAAAGUUAAAUUACGGAAAAUUCUUCCAUGUUACAUAGCAUUAAAUGCUAAUAGUAUUGAAUGAUCUGGAGUGGUCUUGUAGAGAAAUUUUUCAGUGUACCGGAAAACAUGGUCUUACUCCGAUACACCAAAUGUCAUUACAUAAAUAAUUAGAAAUUUCUUUUCAACUUUCCAUCCAA